rnacentral:tRNA from 1 species
GGCCGAGUGGCAGAGUGGCUAUGCAGCGGAUUGCAAAUCCGUGGACCUCGGUUCGACUCCGGGCUCGGCCUCCA